AUUUUGUUCCUUUGAAUAUGCUAAUUCUCCUGUAUACUUGGUUAUUGUUAAAUGCCUUAAUUUCCUAAAAGUCUUAUGCUUGCUUCUUCUUGGGGUGAUUUAUGUUCUAUGCUUGAUAUCUGACCUAUUUCAAGCUAUGCAGCUAUUCUCAUCUGAAGUCAUCAGUUGGGAUGGAAACCAGUCUCUCAGCAGUACUUAAACAGGUCAGAAAGUUGCCAGCAGUUCCAAUCUAUUAUUUUUAUCUCAAAGGAAAAAUCAGCAGUAGAGUGGCUUCCCUCCUUCGACUCAGUUUCAGGGAAGGGGUGAGAACACCCUGUGAAGAGGAAGGCAGAGAUUGGAAUGAUGCAGAAGAAGCCAACGAAUCUAGGAGAGAGGCAUGAAUUUCCCCUUCAUAGUCCUUGUAAGGAGCCAACCCUGCUGCACCUUUAUCUCAAAUGUCCAGCUUCCAGAACUGCAAGACAGUAAAUUUCUGCUGUUUAAGACAAAAAAAAAAAAAGUUAAGCUUUAUAUGCACAAAGCAAGACAUUACUUAUAUUAAAUGUUGUAUCUGUGAUCUUUACAACAUUUGUCAAAUAGUCUAUUAGCCAAUCAGUUGGUAGGCAGAAGUAUCUAAAUCACAUAAAAUAAUUGUGCCUAAAUAAUUCUGGUAACUUAUGUAUAAUCCGUUGAACAUCUUGACAAUCACUAAUUUAACUAAUGCAAGUUUGUCAAAUAGGGGAACUGGGGAUCCUGAUACUAAUAUAAUUUUAGAAGAUGAACAACAGUAAAGCAUUUAUGGACUGAGAGCUUAAUGUGUUUAUUUCUUUUAAAAUUUUACAAACUGCUGGGUGUGUUGGCUUAUGCCUCUAAUCUCAGCACUUUGGGAGACUGAGGCAGGUGAAUUGCUUGAGCCCAGGAGUUCACGACCAGCUUGGGCAACGUAGUGAGAACUAAUUUCUACUAAAAAUUAAACAAAAAAAUAGUCAAGUGUGGUGGUACACACCUGAAAUCCCAGUUAUUCUGGAGACUGUGGCAGUAAGAUCAUUUGAGCCCAAGAUACUGAGACUACUGUGAGCCAUGAUUGUGCCACUGCACUCCAGCUCAGGCAACAGACUGAGACCCUGUCUCAAAAAUAAAUAAAUACAAAUAAAAUAAAAUUUUACAAACUUUCUGAUUUAGCAGUCACUAAAAACCACAUGAAAAAUCUAUUAUAUAUACACCAUCUUUUAAAAUAAAUACAUUGUAAUUUUGAAAAAUUGUGUUAUUUCCCUGAAAUCAACGUUAGCAAACAAUGGGGCUAAUAUAAAUCCAGAUAUGUUCAACUUCAAAGCCUAUACUACAAUUACUCUUGUAAAAAUAGUUUUCCAGUUAUGCCUCAACUUGUUUUAACUAGUGGAAAAAAAAAGCUUUCCAGCCCAUUAUGAGAAAGAAAAUUUAACUUCUCUAUUACAUAACUUGAUUACAUAAAUUACUAUAACCUAAUAAGUGCAGUUAACUUGACAUCCUCACUUAACAUAUGGAAGAGCACAUUUAUGACACAUUUAUAGACAUCAGUAUGGCAUUGUAUAUCAGAAAUUAAAAUGUGGAUAAGAUUUUGUCCCCCAAAUUUUACUACAAUAAAUUUGUUUUAAGGAAAUAUUGAAGUAGCAAAGAUGUAUGUUUAAGAAUAUUAAUUAUUACAGUGCUAAAAAAUAAAAUAUAGAACAAAAACUGAAUACAAAAUGUGACUAGAAUGUCAAAUAGAUGUCUACAUUCCCAUAUUUAUUGAAACAUUUUUCAUUAUAGCCAAGAUUUGCAAGCAACCUAAGUGCCUCUCAACAAAUAAAGAGAUUGUUUAAAUGUUUUGUGUGUGUGUGUGUGUAUAAUGGAAUACUGUUCAAUCUUUAGAAAAAAUAAAAUUCUGCAAUUUGCAACAACAUGAAUAAAGCUAGAGGACAUUUAUACUGAAUGAAAUAAGUCAUGUACAGAUAAACAAAUAUUACAUGCUCUCACUUAUAUGUGCAAGCAAAAAUUUGAGCUUACACAAGUAAGGGGUAAAAUGGUUACUACCAAAAACUAGGGCAGGAGUGCAUGGAGAAAGGAAAAUGUUGGUUAAAAGGUACAAAAUUUCAAUUAGAUAAGAGAAAAAAGUUAUGGUGAUCUAAUGCAUACCAAGUAAUUACAAUUAAUAAUAAUGAAUUUUCUAUUUAUAAUUGCAAAAAGGGGGAUUUUAAAUGUUCUUAACAAAAAUAAAUGUGAGAAUUGACAGAUAUAUUAAUUAACCUAAUUUGUUCAAUCCACAAUGUAUACCUGUAUCUAUGCAUCACA
rnacentral:lncRNA from 1 species